UACGUAGGGUGCAAACGUUAAUCGGGAUUACUGGGCGUAAAGCGUGCGCAGGCGGUUGUGUAAGACAGAUGUGAAAUCCCCGGGCUCAACCUGGGAACUGCAUUUGUGACUGCACGGCUGGAGUGCGGCAGAGGGGGAUGGAAUUCCGCGUGUAGCAGUGAAAUGCGCAGAUAUGCGGAGGAACACCGAUGGCGAAGGCAAUCCCCUGGGCCUGCACUGACGCUCAUGCACGAAAGCGUGGGGAGCAAACAGG
rnacentral:rRNA from 1 species